rnacentral:rRNA from 1 species
AUGAACGCUGGCGGCGUGCCUAAUACAUGCAAGUCGAGCGAACAGACGAGGAGCUUGCUCCUCUGACGUUAGCGGCGGACGGGUGAGUAACACGUGGAUAACCUACCUAUAAGACUGGGAUAACUUCGGGAAACCGGAGCUAAUACCGGAUAAUAUAUUGAACCGCAUGGUUCAAUAGUGAAAGACGGUUUUGCUGUCACUUAUAGAUGGAUCCGCGCCGCAUUAGCUAGUUGGUAAGGUAACGGCUUACCAAGGCAACGAUGCGUAGCCGACCUGAGAGGGGGAUCGGCCACACUGGAACUUGGACACGGUCCAGACUCCUACGGGAGGCAGCAGUAGGGAAACUUCCGCAAUGGGCGAAAGCUUGACGGAGCAACGCCGCGUGAGUGAUGAAGGUCUUCGGAUCGUAAAACUCUGUUAUUAGGGAAAAACAAAUGUGGAAGUAACUAUGCACGUCCUGACGGUACCUAAUCAGAAAGCCACGGCUAACUACGUG